GUCUCCCUGAAGUUGUAUAACCUAAUGCAAAUCGAACAUAAAUAAACAUAGUCAACCAGCAGCUUUACACAAAAAACAACUGCUAAGUUUCAGCUCAGCCACCCCAUAUUUGGAUAAAGUGAAAGUGUUCUGUGUUCAUACAAUUGAUUUUAGCAUCGAAAAGGAGGGCCUCCUGGGAGAACUAACCUGGCCUAGCUCAGGAUCUU
rnacentral:misc_RNA from 1 species